UAUCCCAAAGAGCUGCACAGCUGUUUUGCUGAGACCUGAGAACAGGCUUUACCGAAUGAAUGAAAUAGCACAGACAACCAAAUGCAGAAACUGCAGGAAAUGAUUUUUUAAUUUUCUUGGAAAUAUACAGAUGAAUUAAGAACCCCAGUUACAAACUCCAUAAACUUGUAAAGCAAUAGUUAGAAAGUCUUCCCUUAAGCCAGACCUGCUGCUUGCUAGUUUGCAAAAUUAGCGCAGACUUGAUAGUAAAACAAGUAUUCACAGAAACAAUCAUUUUCUGCUAAGCCUCCGAACGCCUUUUAAGCUUUCUGCCGCCGUUUGAGCCUUCUCCUGCGAUCAGCAGCACCGGUAACAGCCGCUCCCGCUGCCGGCGGCCAGAAGCCGGUUUCUGCCGCCGCGCCCCCCCCGCGCCGCCCCGGGCAGCCGGUACCUUCCGUGUGGCAGCUGCAGGACAGGAUGGAGGUGGCAGGCCUGAAGAUGUACGACAGGUUAAAGGUAGCUGAAAACACGUAUGGAAAAUGUGAUGCCCUUCACCAUGAUUUCUUACAAUUCUGUCACAAAUCAAAACUAGAAAGGCAAAGAAGCCUCCAGUCAGUCCGAUUCCCCUCUUGGAGAUACUGGAGUAGAAAACAGCACUUUGCAAAUCAGCUGCUGUCUCUCUGUGAGGAUCUGUCGCUUUCAGAUUUGCUGCUUGACUCUCAGGCUUGAAUAACAGACCUGCCCUGGAUUCUCCUCUCAUGAAGUACUAUUUACAGUGCCACAGUGACAUGAAGCACAGAGCUGCAUCUGUGACCCCCAGCUGCCUCGAUCUUCUGUGCAAUGUUCAUCGCUCUCAGCAGCACCCUACACCCCCAAGGCAUUUCUAGAGGUGGACCAUUUUGACAUUUGAGGCUGAAGUUAGUAAUUGUAUCUGUCAACUAUGUACUAAGAAACUCUCCAACCCCUAAAAGUUGCUGUUUUUUUUCAUUGUUUAGUUUAUCCAUCCUUGUCUAGAGCUUUCCAAAGCCUUUUACUCAAGAAAAUGCGUGAUGUUGACACAGUUUCACAGGAUGUGCUGAAGACAGUGAUAUUUUUGUGCGGUCAUACUCAAAACUGAGUCCCAGCAGAAGGCGUCUCCUCUCAGGAGACUAAGGAUUUUGCUUUUCUUUAGCUCUUUAGUUGUUUGUUUGUUUUUCAGCAAAUCCUGCCUCUGACGGCUUCCACAGACCCUUCAGAGGAGCCACCGCGCUCCUCCCCGCUCUGGCCGGGCGCGCCGCGGCUCUGCGGGGACCCCUGGCGGCGGCGGGGGGGCUGCGGGAGCCCUCUGCGGGGCGACAGCUCGGGGACACCCGCUGAAGAUCGCAACGCUCAGCCUGCCAGCUGUGCGUGCCCGUGUCUCUGCCUUUGAACAAGCGGCCACCCAUGAGAAUUGCAAAGCAUUCAAAACGCCUCUAAUUCAGUAGAAUUUGGGUGCUCGUGAAAGUGAGCCCGCUUUAACCGUAAGAUGCCAGCAACGGAUACCCAAAUCUGAUGUAUAGAGAUGCUAAAUGCUAAACACCACCAGAGAGCUACAGCUGAUAUACGGAUGCUGAUCAAAAUUUCAGUUAUUUUAGGGCUUAUGGUUACAGGAAAUACAUACUGUGAAUGAGGCUGAACUUGUAAGCCAUUGCUAAAAAUGAGUUUGUUACUUGGAAAAAAAAAAAAAAAAGAAAAAAAAAAAAAGUAGUUUGCUGAAUAGUUACAACUAGAAGAGUUAAAAUAUACAUGUGUUAAUUCUGUGGAGAUAAUUGGAUGUUCUUCUCUCUUGGCCUUUGCAGAGCUUUUGGGGUCUGUCAUGUGUGCAAGCCAGCGGGCGAGAGGGGAAGGAUUUUGGUGUGCCACUGACUUCACAGAGCACACUUGAUUUGUCGCACUUUCAGAGAAGUGAGACCAGCUUUGCCUCUUCUCCGUUAGAAGGCACCAGAGCUCUACUGUCGAGAGCAGUGUUACUCCGGUGACACCAAGCAGGAGGGAAGCUGGCAGUGGCUGUUCUACCUCACGCCACCUGCAUCACUUCCUGAGUUUCUGCCUGGUGUGGCUCACACAGGCAUGUCCCACUGCCGUCUGCUCUCCACGCUGAAGCCUCCAGAAAAUUCAUUUCUGCUUCCCAAAUCUGAUGCGCGACCAGGAGCACACCUUUCCCUGGUUCCCUGAGACGUCCUUGCACAGUGGGAGCCUGCAGUGGGACAGGGUUUCUGCUGCUGCUGCGUGCCUGAAUCCAGACCUCCUCUCAGUUGUACACUCUUGGAUCUACUUGCUGAGAAGUGUUGGUUUUAUUAUUGUGAGUCAGUUAUAAGAACCCUGCGGAAAACCUACACAAAUGAUUCUGACACCAGCUUUGAAGUCUGUUUUGGAGAUGUAGCUGGUAGGUACACAGAGGCUAGGUGGUAGCUACAUUUGCCUUUCAGGCAAGUAGUUCUCUAGAUUCAGCAGUGACAUUUCUGGAUCUCAUAUAGAUAAGAGCAUAUAUAUCUCAUAUAUAAGAGCAAGCCUAUUUCCAGCAUUUUCCUCAAAUUCUGAAGUUGGACAAAUGGGUGUCAAUAGAAGUGAAAGAAGAAUGUGUCUGACUGCAGAUAAUGGGAAAGAGAACGGCACUUCAUUAUUCCCUAAUCUGUCUGUACUCAAUGCCCCUUUUUUGUGCAGUAGGUUCGUAGCAUGUUACAUAGGUAGGUGAAUUAGAUCAGUAAAUGGAUGUCUGCUUUUCGAACAAAGUCUCUUUAUCUAUUCCCACUGAAAAAAAUAAAAUAAAAUAAAAAUGCUGUGCUGA